UGCCCCAUGGCUGAGUUGGUUACAGCGUCCGACUGUUAUGUGCUAAUAUCGGAAGGUCGAGAGUUCGAGCCUCUCUGGGGCAG